rnacentral:rRNA from 1 species
CCUACGGGAGGCAGCAGUGGGGAAUAUUGGACAAUGGGGGGAACCCUGAUCCAGCGACGCCGCGUGAGUGAAGAAGUAUUUCGGUAUGUAAAGCUCUAUCAGCAGGGAAGAAAGAAAUGACGGUACCUGACUAAGAAGCCCCGGCUAACUACGUGCCAGCAGCCGCGGUAAUACGUAGGGGGCAAGCGUUAUCCGGAUUUACGGGGGGAAAAGGGAGCGUAGACGGCGAUGCAAGUCUGAAGUGAAAGGCGGGGGCCCAACCCCUGGACUGCUUUGGAAACUGUAUGGCUGGAGUGCAGGAGGGGGAAGUGGAAUUCCUAGUGUAGCGGGGAAAGGCGGAGAUAUUAGGAGGAACACCAGUGGCGAAGGCGGCUUACUGGACUGUAACUGACGUUGAGGCUCGAAGGGGGGGGGAGCAAACAGGAUUAGAUACCCCUGGAGUC